rnacentral:rRNA from 1 species
GGUCUCCGUUUGGUGCAUCACACGGAGGGACAUUACCGAGUUUACACUCCCAAACCCCUGUGAACAUACCAAUUGUUGCCUCGGCGGAUCAGCCCGCUCCCGGUAAAACGGGACGGCCCGCCAGAGGACCCCUAAACUCUGUUUCUAUAUGUAACUUCUGAGUAAAACCAUAAAUAAAUCAAAACUUUCAACAACGGAUCUCUUGGUUCUGGCAUCGAUGAAGAACGCAGCAAAAUGCGAUAAGUAAUGUGAAUUGCAGAAUUCAGUGAAUCAUCGAAUCUUUGAACGCACAUUGCGCCCGCCAGUAUUCUGGCGGGCAUGCCUGUUCGAGCGUCAUUUCAACCCUCAAGCCCCCGGGUUUGGUGUUGGGGAUCGGCGAGCCCUUGCGGCAAGCCGGCCCCGAAAUCUAGUGGCGGUCUCGCUGCAGCUUCCAUUGCGUAGUAGUAAAACCCUCGCAACUGGUACGCGGCGCGGCCAAGCCGUUAAACCCCCAACUUCUGAAUGUUGACCUCGGAUCAGGUAGGAAUACCCGCUGAACUUAA